UCCCUAGUGGUCCAGUGGUUAGGACUCAGUAUUUUUGCUGCCGUGGCCUGGGUUCAAUCCCUGGUUGGGGAA